rnacentral:rRNA from 1 species
GGAUGUGAUGGGGAGCGAAAUUUAGUAGCGAAGUAGCUGAUUUCACACUGUCAAGAAAAGUCUCUAUCGAGGUUAAAGGUACCCGUACCGCAAACCGACACAGGUGGGUGAGGAGAGUAUCCUAAGGCCAGCGAGAGAACUGUUGUUAAGGAACUCGGCAAAAUGACCCCGUAACUUAGGGAUAAGGGGUGCCACCAUCAGGUGGCCGCAGAGAAUAGGCCCAAGCGACUGUUUACCAAAAACAUAGGUUUCUGCUAAGUCGCAAGACGAUGUAUAGGAGCUGACGCCUGCCCGGUGCUGGAAGGUUAAGGGGAUCUGUUAGAGCAAUCGAAGCAGUGAACUUAAGCCCCAGUAAACGGCGGCCGUAACUAUAACGGUCCUAAGGUAGCGAAAUUCCUUGUCGGGUAAGUUCCGACCCGAACGAAAGGCGUAACGAUUUGGGCACUGUCUCAACAACAGACUCGGUGAAAUUGUAAUUCCGGUGAAGAUGCCGGAUACCUGCGACAGGACGGAAAGACCCCAUGGAGCUUUACUGUAGCUUGACAUUGGGUCUUGGUACUACAUGUACAGGAUAGGUGGGAGGCUUUGAAACCAGGACGCCAGUUUUGGCGGAGCCAUCCUUGGGAU